rnacentral:rRNA from 1 species
GUUGAUACCCGCCGCGACCUGGACUGCUAUCGGAUUGAUACUAGCCAUGCGAGUCAUUGUAGCAAUACAAGGCAGACGGCUCAGUAACGCGUAGUCAAUCUACCCUAUGGACGGGAAUAACCUCGGGAAACUGAGAAUAAUGCCCGAUAGAACAUUAUGCCUGGAAUGGUUUAUGUUUCAAAUGAUUUAUCGCCAUAGGAUGGGACUGCGGCCUAUCAGUUUGUUGGUGAGGUAAUGGCCCACCAAGACUAUUACAGGUACGGGCCGGGCUCUGAGAGGAGUGGCCCGGAGAUGGGUACUGAGACACGGACCCAGGCCCUAUGGGGCGCAGCAGGCGAGAAAACUUUGCAAUGUGCGAAAGCACGACAAGGUUAAUCCGAGUGGUUUCUGCUAAAGAAACCUUUUGUCAGUCCUAGAAACACUAACGAAUAAGGGGUGGGCAAGUUCUGGUGUCAGCCGCCGCGGUAAAACCAGCACCUCAAGUGGUCAGGAUGAUUAUUGGGCCUAAAGCAUCCGUAGCUCGUUUUGUAAGUUUUCGGUUAAAUCCAUGCGCUUAACGUAUGGGCUGCCGGGAAUACUGCAUAACUAGGAAGUGGGAGAGGUAGACGGUACUCGGUAGGAAGGGGUAAAAUCCUUUGAUCUAUUGAUGACCACCUGUGGCGAAGGCGGUCUACCAGAACACGUUCGACGGUGAGGGAUGAAAGCUGGGGGAGCAAACCGGAUUAGAUACCCGGGUAGUCCCAGCUGUAAACUAUGCAAACUCAGUGAUGCAUUGGCUUGUGGCCAAUGCAGUGCUGCAGGGAAGCCGUUAAGUUUGCCGCCUGGGAAGUACGUACGCAAGUAUGAAACUUAAAGGAAUUGGCGGGGGAGCACCACAGGGGGUGAAGCCUGCGGUUCAAUUGGAGUCAACGCCGG